rnacentral:lncRNA from 1 species
AUGUCUACCAAGAGAACCAGGACGGCAGACUCCUCCUCUUUUUCAGAGCAGAACUCAGAGGAGGAGCUAAAAGGAAAGACCGGCCAGGAGGGGCACAAGACCCAGGGUUCUAAGACUGGGAAGGAGUCUGCUCUGACAGGCAGUCUCUCCCCCUGGGGUGAGGAGCUUCAGAAGGCGGAGUUUCAGCAGUCAUCAGCCGACAGGGAGCAGAGGUCAUCCCUGCGACAACCUCAACGACAGGGGGAACGGUCUCCACUGCAACAGCAGCAGGCCCCUCCCCUGUCCUCCUCCUCCCAGGGCUCUGCCCCCUCUGAGGGCCAAGGGGAGUGCAUCAUGGAGAACAACAGCACUAUGAAAUCCCAGACCCAUCCCCAGUCCAAGGACCAGUACACCAGCGCUGAGGUGGUCUCCAGGACCCAGACUCCCUCUCAGUAUAUAAUCGACAUCACAGCAGAGGAUGCUAACGCACACAUGGCCUCCCGGGAGAACUCUGAGGCCGUCUCGGCCCUGCUGGCCUCCCAGAAUCCAUCUGAGCCCUCCUACCUCUCUGAGCCCAGCAGACAUUUGGUGCUGAACCCCUCUGUGGCCCCUCCCUCUCCCCUUCGUAAGAGCCCCUCGGAGUGUGACCUUAGGAACCAGACUCCCUCAGUGUCAGAGUGUGACCUCAGGAACCAGACUCCCUUAGUGUCAGAGUGUGACCUUAGGAACCAGACUCCCUUAGUGUUAGAGUGUGACCUUAGGAACCAGACUCCCUCAGUGUCAGAGUGUGACCUUAGGAACCAGACUCCCUUAGUGUUAGAGUGUGACCUUAGGAACCAGGCUCCCUCAGUGUCAGAGUGUGACCUUAGGAACCAGGCUCCCUCAGUGUCAGAGUGUGACCCUAGGAACCAGAGUCCCUCAGUGUCAGAGUGUGACCUUAGGAACCAGAGUCCCUCAGUGUCAGAGUGUGACCUUAGGAACCAGAGUCCCUCAGUGUCAGAGUGUGACCUUAGGAACCAGACUCCCUCAGUGUCAGAGUGUGACCUUAGGAACCAGACUCCCUCAGUGUCAGAGUGUGUACCUUAG